GAUGAACGCUGGCGGCGUGCUUAACACAUGCAAGUCGAACGGAAAGGCUCCUGCUUGCAGGGGUACUCGAGUGGCGAACGGGUGAGUAACACGUGGGUGAUCUGCCCUGCACUUCGGGAUAAGCCUGGGAAACUGGGUCUAAUACCGGAUAGGACGAUGGUUUGGAUGCCAUUUUGGAAAGUUUUUCGGUGUGGGAUGAGCUCGCGGCCUAUCAGCUUGUUGGUGGGGUAAUGGCCUACCAAGGCGUCGACGGGUAGCCGGCCUGAGAGGGUGUACGGCCACAUUGGGACUGAGAUACGGCCCAGACUCCUACGGGAGGCAGCAGUGGGGAAUAUUGCACAAUGGGCGCAAGCCUGAUGCAGCGACGCCGCGUGGGGGAUGACGGCCUUCGGGUUGUAAACUCCUUUCGCUAGGGACGAAGCGCAAGUGACGGUACCUGGAGAAGAAGCACCGGCUAACUACGUG
rnacentral:rRNA from 1 species